rnacentral:rRNA from 1 species
AACGAACGCUGGCGGCAUGCCUAACACAUGCAAGUCGAACGAGACCUUCGGGUCUAGUGGCGCACGGGUGCGUAACGCGUGGGAACCUGCCUUUAGGUUCGGAAUAACUCAGAGAAAUUUGAGCUAAUACCGGAUAAUGUCUUCGGACCAAAGAUUUAUCGCCUUUAGAUGGGCCCGCGUUGGAUUAGCUAGUUGGUGGGUAAAGGCCUACCAAGGCGACGAUCCAUAGCUGGUCUGAGAGGAUGAUCAGCCACACUGGGACUGAGACACGGCCCAGACUCCUACGGGAGGCAG